AGCGAACGUUUGCGGCGGGCUUAACACAUGCAAGUCGAACGGGCUGUUCCUUCGGGGGCAGUCAGUGGCGCACGGGUGCGUAACACGUAGGUAAUCAACCCUCUGGUUGGGGAUAACACUUCGAAAGGAGUGCUAAUACCCGGUAUGGCGCAGCGGUCUUCGGAUCGCGGCGAGAAAGACCCGCAAGGGUUGCCAGAGGACGAGCCUGCGGCCCAUCAGCUAGUUGGCGAGGUAACGGCUCACCAAGGCGAAGACGGGUAGCUGGUCUGAGAGGAUGAUCAGCCACACUGGAACUGAGACACGGUCCAGACUCCUACGGGAGGCAGCAGUGGGGAAUAUUGCGCAAUGGGCGAAAGCCUGACGCAGCCACGCCGCGUGAGCGAUGAAGGCCUCGGUCGUAAAGCUCUGUGGGAGGAGAAGAAUAAAGACCUGUGAAGAGCAGGCCUUGACGGUAGUCUCCUUAGCAAGCACCGGCUAACUCCGUGCCA
rnacentral:rRNA from 1 species